UUCAUUGCUUCAUUCUUUCAUUGCUUUGCUGUGCAUUCUGUCCAAUUCUUUGUUCAAAAUGCCAAGAACCUGGACAAUUUGCAGUCAAGACCCUCCACCGGGAUAUGAACUUCCAAUUAUAUCAUUGGACUUGACUACUCCAUUUCUUUCCACAUUUAAAAAUCAAUCAGGGAGAAGCUAUUUUGAGAACUUAACACAGUAUUUAACAUGGGAUUUCUGAAUGAAGACAGUUUAUGGAUGAAUAAGGGAUUGCGAUGACCUUUAAAUAAACGACAAGAUAUUGUUUUGCCUUUGACUUGUGGUAA
rnacentral:lncRNA from 1 species